rnacentral:rRNA from 1 species
GAUGAACGCUAGCGACAGGCUUAACACAUGCAAGUCGAGGGGCAGCACAGGUAGCAAUACCGGGUGGCGACCGGCGCACGGGUGAGUAACGCGUAUGCAACUUGCCUAUCAGAGGGGGAUAACCCGGCGAAAGUCGGACUAAUACCGCAUGAAGCAGGGAUCCCGCAUGGGAAUAUUUGCUAAAGAUUCAUCGCUGAUAGAUAGGCAUGCGUUCCAUUAGGCAGUUGGCGGGGUAACGGCCCACCAAACCGACGAUGGAUAGGGGUUCUGAGAGGAAGGUCCCCCACAUUGGUACUGAGACACGGACCAAACUCCUACGGGAGGCAGCAGUGAGGAAUAUUGGUCAAUGGCCGAGAGGCUGAACCAGCCAAGUCGCGUGAGGGAUGAAGGUUCUAUGGAUCGUAAACCUCUUUUAUAAGGGAAUAAAGUGCGGGACGUGUCCCGUUUUGUAUGUACCUUAUGAAUAAGGAUCGGCUAACUCCGUGCCAGCAGCCGCGGUAAUACGGAGGAUCCGAGCGUUAUCCGGAUUUAUUGGGUUUAAAGGGUGCGUAGGCGGCCUUUUAAGUCAGCGGUGAAAGUCUGUGGCUCAACCAUAGAAUUGCCGUUGAAACUGGGGGGCUUGAGUAUGUUUGAGGCAGGCGGAAUGCGUGGUGUAGCGGUGAAAUGCAUAGAUAUCACGCAGAACCCCGAUUGCGAAGGCAGCCUGCCAAGCCAUGACUGACGCUGAUGCACGAAAGCGUGGGGAUCAAACAGGAUUAGAUACCCUGGUAGUCCACGCAGUAAACGAUGAUCACUAGCUGUUUGCGAUACACUGUAAGCGGCACAGCGAAAGCGUUAAGUGAUCCACCUGGGGAGUACGCCGGCAACGGUGAAACUCAAAGGAAUUGACGGGGGCCCGCACAAGCGGAGGAACAUGUGGUUUAAUUCGAUGAUACGCGAGGAACCUUACCCGGGUUUGAACGCAUUCGGACCGAGGUGGAAACACCUUUUCUAGCAAUAGCCGUUUGCGAGGUGCUGCAUGGUUGUCGUCAGCUCGUGCCGUGAGGUGUCGGCUUAAGUGCCAUAACGAGCGCAACCCUUGCCACUAGUUACUAACAGGUAAAGCUGAGGACUCUGGUGGGACUGCCAGCGUAAGCUGCGAGGAAGGCGGGGAUGACGUCAAAUCAGCACGGCCCUUACAUCCGGGGCGACACACGUGUUACAAUGGCGUGGACAAAGGGAAGCCACCUGGCGACAGGGAGCGAAUCCCCAAACCACGUCUCAGUUCGGAUCGGAGUCUGCAACCCGACUCCGUGAAGCUGGAUUCGCUAGUAAUCGCGCAUCAGCCAUGGCGCGGUGAAUACGUUCCCGGGCCUUGUACACACCGCCCGUCAAGCCAUGGGAGCCGGGGGUACCUGAAGUCCGUAACCGCGAGGAUCGGCCUAGGGUAAAACUGGUGACUGGGGCU